rnacentral:rRNA from 1 species
UGGGGAAUUUUGGACAAUGGGGGCAACCCUGAUCCAGCAAUGCCGCGUGUGUGAAGAAGGCCUUCGGGUUGUAAAGCACUUUUGUCUGGGAAGAAAAUGGAUGGGUGAAUAAUCUAUCUAGAUGACGGUACCAGAAGAAUAAGGACCGGCUAACUACGUGCCAGCAGCCGCGGUAAUACGUAGGGUCCAAGCGUUAAUCGGAAUUACUGGGCGUAAAGCGUGCGCAGGCGGUUUUGUAAGACAGAUGUGAAAUCCCCGGGCUUAACCUGGGAACUGCAUUUGUGACUGCAAGGCUAGAGUGUGUGAGAGGGGGGUAGAAUUCCACGUGUAGCAGUGAAAUGCGUAGAGAUGUGGAGGAAUACCGAUGGCGAAGGCAGCCCCCUGGGAUAACACUGACGCUCAUGCACGAAAGCGUGGGGAGCAAACAG